GUACUGGCACUGCAACCCCAAAAAAGAAAAUUAAAUUCACACUUCCACCAUUCCUCACAUCAUUGAGUCUCCAUCCUUUAUGGAGACUUUAUACUCUUAAAAAGACCCCCCAGAACCUUUGUUUAUGUGGGUUCUAUGUAUCCUAUUAGGAAUCAAAACUGAGAAACUUUUAAGGCAUGCAUGCCAUUAGGCAUCAUAGCAGUGACAUCACCACAUAUCAUGCACUCUCUGAAAACUCUACCAUUCACUCAUGAGACAAUGAGUGUGAAAGAGGCAAAUAGUAUUAUUAUGAAGAUAAUUUUGACCUUCUGGACUCUGAAAGAUCUUCAGAAACCCCAGGGUUUUUGAGAACUGCAUUUUGAGAACUGCUGCCUUAGCUGCUGCUACCAUCCUUAUAAAUGUUUCUGAAGCUUAGGAAGCUAAAAUGUUCUGCCUCCAGAUCUGUAAAUGACGUCAGCACAGGAAGCAAGUACGGAAAGAGCACGGGGGUAGGAAGCCUUGCUUCCAUUUGUCCUUUCCAGAGAUUGACGCCUUCUCCAAUACAACAAUUUCCCAUCCUGCACAAACAGAAACACACUACUGCUUGCUGAUUUGGGUUUUGUCCCCCUUGCCCUGCUCAGAUGAGAUGAAUACUCACAACUCUCUGCUAAAGACAAAGAUGGAGUUUGGGUGGACAAAGCAAGAAACUCUUUUCUGUGCACACAAUGUCCCUACAAGGAAUAGGACCCCCAGUAACUUUCCAUGCCUCCAAGAAAGACAACUGGAGCCAGGCGCGGUGGCUCAUGCCUGUAAUUCCAGCAUUUAGGAGGCCGAGGCAGGCAGAUCACGAGGUCAGGAGUUCAAGACUACCCUGGCCAACAUGGUGAAACCACAUCUCUACUAAAAAUACAAAAAAAUUAAGCCCGGGCGUGGUGGCUCACGCCUGUAAUCCAAACACUUUGGGAGGCCGAGGCAGGCGGAUCACCUGAGGUCAGGAGUUCGAGACCAGCCUGGCCAACAUGGUUAAACCCCAUCUCUACUAAAAAUAUAAAAAUUAGCUGGCCAUGGUGGUGCAUGCCUGUUAUCCCAGCUACUUGGGAGGCUGAGGCAGGAGAAUUGCUUGAAUCCAGAGGGUGGAAGUUGCAGUGAGCUGAGAUCGCACCACUGCACUGCAGCCUGGGUGACAAAGCAAGACUCAGUCUCGAAAAAAAAAAGAAAUAGAACUGGGUGGCAUGCACACAGGGGCAAUAGGAAAUAGGGAGAUUUUCACAGUUUCAUUUUGAAUUUGAUGUCAUACAAAUAUGUUAUCUAUCCCCCCCCACAAAAAAUUUAAAAUCUAAAUCUAAUCCCCAGUACUAUCAGUCUUUUGAUAGCUAACAUUCCAAAAUGCCCUCCAGAGUUCACAAGACUCCCAAAAAAUGCAUCUAAAGGAAAAACCAAUAACAAAUAGCUCACACAUGUACUAUGUAAACGUACUAGGUACUGCCCCCGCACGCACCGCGUCAACGUACUAGGUACUGCUCACACACGUACUAGGUAAACGUACUAGGUACUGCUCACACAUGUACUACGAUGCUCUACAAACUGCCUUGCCCUAACUUUACUCACUUCACCUCAUUCUUUCCCGGCAUGAAGGAACCACAGUUACCUGUCCAAAGCAUAACACUGAGCCGCCGCCAGCAGCAGGAUGGCUGUCACGUCCUCCAAGAAUUGCUUCCUCAGUCCCAGACAUCUUGAUUCUGGUUGACCUCUAUAUAAAUAAAAAGCGGAAAAAAAAAACAACCCUCAAAGAAUGUUUAAAGUAAAAGGCAAGAGCCUCUACUGAAAAAUCACAUAAAGAAUCCUUAUGCGGCCAGGCACAGUGGCUCAUGCCUGUAAUCCCAGCACUUUGGGAGGCCGAGGUGGGUGGAUCACAAGGUCAGGAGAUGGAGACCAUCCUGGCUAACAUGGUGAAACCCCCUCUCUACUAAAAAUCCAAAAAAAUUAGCUGGGCAUGGUGGCAGGCGCCUGUAAUCCCAGCUACUCGGGAGGCUGAGGCAAAGAAUUGCUUGAACCCAGGAGGCGGAGGUUGCAGUGAUCUGAGAUCACACCCUGCACUCCAGCCUGGGCGACAGAGCGAGACUCCAUUUCAGGAAAAAAAAAAAAAAAGAAUCCCUAUGCAAUACCCUAAGAGUUAUUUAUAAGCUUCUAAGCACUGCUCCAAUCCAGAACAGAGUUCCUCAGUGGUUAGCUGUGGUCUCUCAAGCUGCUGAAGAUUCUUUAAGGUCUACUUCUACCUUUCUGUUAACAUGUUUGCUAUUCUGGCGGUGCUAUUAAAGGUGAUUUUUACAAUAAGAAUAUAUUACAUUUAGAACUAUAAAAUCAAAAUUACAAAAAAUUCUUUAUGGGAAAGCAAACAAAAAAUGUACUAUAGGUGGAACAUUGCUAAUCCAAAAAUCCAAAAUUCAAAAUGCUCCAAAAUCCAAAACGUUUUGAGUGCCAACAUGAUGUGUUAUAGUCAAAACACAGGUAAUGGCCAGGCAUGGUGGCUCAAACCUAUAAUCCUACCACCUUGGGAGGCCAAGGCAGAAGGACUGCUUGAGCCCAGGAGUUUGAGACUAGCCUAGACAACAAAACCCCAUCACUACAAAAAAUUUAAAAAUUAGCCAGGCGUGGUGCUAUGCUACUUAGGAGGCUGAUGUGGGAGGAUCGCUUGAGCUCAGGAGUUUGAGGCUGCAGUGAGCUAUGACCACCCCAUCGCACUCCAGCCUGGGUGACAGAGUGUCUGACUCUGUCUCAAAAAAAAAAAAAAACAAAAAAAAAGGCAGGCACACAACACACAGUUUAUUCAGCUUCUCCAAGAGAAAAAUUCAAUUAUCAGCCAGACGCAGUCACUGACACCUAUAAUCCCAGCACUUUGGGAGGCUGAGGCGGGCGGAUCACCUGAGGUCAGGAGUUUGAGACCAGCCUGGCCAACAUGGUGAAAUGUCUUUAUAAAAAUACAAAAAUUAGCCGGGUGUGGUAGUGCGAGCCUGUAAUUCCAGCUACUUGGGAGGCUGAGGUAGGAGAAUCGCUUGAACCUGGGAGGCAGAGGUUGCAGUGAGCUGAGAUUGUGCCACGGCACUCCAGCCUGGGCGAGAGUGAGACUCCAUCUCAAAAAAAAAAAAAAAAAAAAAUCAUCUUUAGGCUCUGAAAACAAAUGAAUUUCAUGUUUAGACUUGGGUCCCCUUCCCAAGAUAUCUGAUUAUAUAUAUUCAAAUAUUCCAAAAUCUGAAGUCCAAAACACUUCUGGUCCCAAAGCAUUUCAGAGAAGCAAUACCCAACCUGUACUAGCUAAGAGGGUAACUGGGAGGUGGUGGAUAUGUGAAUUACCUUGACUGUGGUAAUCAUUUCACAGUGCAUUCACAUAUCAAAUCAUCACAUUGUACACCCUAAAUAUAUACAAUUUUUGUCAGUCAUACCUCAAAAAAGCUGGGGGGUAGGGAAGAAAAAUCAAGUGAAUCUGUUUUAAAGUUUAAAAAAACCGGCCAGGUGUGGUGGCUCACACCUGUAACCCUAACACUUUGGGAGGCCAAAGCAGGCGGAUCACCUGAGGUCAGGAGUUCGAGAUCAGCCUGACCAACAUAGUGAAACCCCAUCUGUACUAAAAAUACAAAAAAAUUAGCCGGAUGUGGUGGCAGGCGCCUGUAGUCCCAGCUACUCGGGAGGCUGAGGCAGGAGAAUCACUUGAACUUGGGAGGCAGAGGUUGCAGUGAACUGAGAUUGUGCCACUGCACUCCAGCCUGGGUGACAGAACAAGACUCCAUCUCAAAAAUAAUAAUAAUAAAGUUUUUAAAAACCUCAACUUACUGCUCACUACUAUAUAGGCAGCAUGACCCUGGACACUGUGGGGUCAAAAAGAAAUAGAAGCCACAAUCACUGAAAUGCUUUCCAGGAGCUAACAAGAUAGCUGGAGGGAGGAGACUUAAUAGAAAUGAAACAAAUGAAGAGCAGGAGGCCCCAACAUUCAGGAAGGCUACAGAGCAAAAAGCCACUUCACUUCCUUAACCAGCAGCAUCACCAUCACCUGUGAAUCUUUUUUUUUUUUUUUUUUUGUAAGCGUUUCGCUCUUGUCGCCUAGGCUGCCCUGCAGUGGUGUGGUCUCAGCUCACUGCAACCUUCACCUCCUGGGUUCAAGCGAAUCUGCUGCUUCAGUCUCCUGAGUAGCUGAGAUUACAGGUGUGCGCCACCAUGCCCGGCUAAAUUUUGCAUUUUUAGUAGAGACAGGGCCGGGCGUGGUGGCUCACGCCUGUAAUCCCAACACUUCGGGAGGCUGAGGAGGGCAGAUCACCUGAGGUCAGGAAUUCGAGACCAGCCUGACCAACAUGGAAAAACCCCGUCUCUACUAAAAAUACAAAAUUAGCCGGGUGUGGUGGUGCAUGCCUGUAAUCCCAGCUACUCAGGAGGCUGAGGCAAGAGAAUCGCUUGAACCCGGAAGGCGGAGGUUGCAGUGAGCCGAGAUUGCGCCAUUGCACUCCCGCCUGGGAAACAAGAGUGAAACUCCGUCUCAAAAAAAUAAAUAAA